GGCGAGUGAACAGGGAAAAGCCCAAAUUUGUAAUCUGGCACUUUUUACAAGUGUCCGAGUUGUAAUUUGUAGAGCUGUUAUCCGUACUGGACCAUGUACAAGUCUGUUGAAAAGCAGCAUCAUUGAAGGUGAAAAUCCUGUAGAUGAUAUGGACUACCAGUAUAUUUGUGAUACGGUUUCUAAGAGUCGAGUUGUUUGGGAAUGCAGCUCAAAGUGGGUGGUAAAUUCCAUCUAAGGCUAAAUAUAAGUGAGAGACCGAUAGCAAACAAGUACCGUGAGGGAAAGAUGAAAAGAACUUUGAAAAUAGAGUUAACAGUACGUGAAAUUGCUGAAAGGGAAACGUUUGAAGUUAGUUUUGUAUUCGUUGGAUCAGCUUCGCAAGGAGUGUAUUCUGAUGAUAAGCAAGUCAACAUCAGUCUAUGAGUGUUGGAUAAGGGUUUUGAGAAUGUAGCAAUUUAAUUGUGUUAUAGCUUGAGACUUGGAUACAAUGCUUUGGAUUGAGGAACGCGUAGUAAGCUUUGAGCGGAUUCGAAAGGAUCUCCUUACUA
rnacentral:rRNA from 1 species